GACGAACGCUGGCGGCGUGCUUAACACAUGCAAGUCGAACGGAAAGGCCCUGCUUUUUUGGGGUUCCCGAGUGGCAAACGGGGGAGGAACACGUGAGUAACCUGCCCUACACUUUCGGAUAACUUCGGGAAACUGAGGUUAAUACCAUACCGCAUCUCCUCCUGCAUGGAGGGGAGUGGAACUUUUCGGCUGUCUGGGCUGGAUGGGCGGGUUAUGGGCUUGUUAGUGGGGGAGUGGCUGACCAAGGCUGUGAAGGGUAGCCGGCAUGGGAGGGUGACCGGCCACAUUGGGACUGAGAGACGCAGCAGACUCCUACGGGAGACAGCAGUGGGGAAUAUUGUCCAAUGGGCGGAAGCCUGAUGCAGCAACGCCGCGGGCGGGAUGACGGCCUGCGGGUUGUGAACCGCUUUAGCCUGUGACGAAGCGUGAGUGACGGUAAUGAGUAAAGAAGCACCGGCUAACUACGUG
rnacentral:rRNA from 1 species